rnacentral:rRNA from 1 species
AAUGGGCGAAAGCCUGAUCCAGUCAUGCCGCGUGGAUGAAGAAGGCCUUAGGGUUGUAAAGUCCUUUCGCUAGGGAAGAUAAUGACGGUACCUAGUAAAGAAGCCCCGGCUAAUUUCGUGCCAGCAGCCGCGGUAAUACGAAAGGGGCUAGCGUUGUUCGGAAUUACUGGGCGUAAAGCGCGCGUAGGCGGCCCAGCAAGUUGGGGGUGAAAUCCCGGAGCUCAACUCCGGAACUGCCUCCAAAACUGCUGAGCUAGAGGAUGCGAGAGGAUAGUGGAAUUCCGAGUGUAGAGGUGAAAUUCGUAGAUAUUCGGAAGAACACCAGUGGCGAAGGCGACUGUCUGGCGCAUAUCUGACGCUGAGGUGCGAAAGCGUGGGGAGCAAACAGGAUU